AAGCAUUGCCAAGUUCAUUAUCCUGAACUACAGCACUCAUUUCCCACCAUGUCACUCCCCUGCUUGCAAGGCUUUAAUGGCUCCCUAUUGCCUAUCCAAUUAACCACUGACUAGUCAACAAGGUAUUCAAGACUCUACCUCACUUAUCCCUGCACCAGGGAUGGCAAAUUGAUCUCAUCUCAUGAGGCACUCCUGAGGUCAGUUGAGAAGGUGUGGGCUGUGAUUGAUGAACGCUGUCUCCCUUGGGUGGAGUUCUAGGAGCAGGAUGCUGGUACCAGGAGUCUGCGAAACUGCCUAGUAUCCUUACAUACUUCCUGCAAUCCAUGUGUAAUUCUCAGACCAGGCCAUGUGCCACUUCCCUCUCCUUCUACUUGUGAUGCAGGAUACAUGCAGAGACAUUUGCUUCUGCCGCUUCCUUGGUGGCUCAGUGGUAAAGAAACUGCCUGCCAAUGCAGGAGAUGCAGGUUCAAUCCCUUGGUCUGGAAGAUCCCUUGGAAAAGGGAAUGGCAACCCACUCCAGCAUUCUUGCCUGGAAAAUUCCAUGGAGAGAGGAGCCUAGUGGGUCACAAAGAGUCAGACAUGACUUAGAGACUAAACAACAGCAACAAAACAACUUCUCCUGAAAUGUCCUUUCUGCCUUCUCUGUUAACUGAAUCCCUACAUUUCUUUAAAGGUCUGUUCUAUUGGGUUAACCAAAAUGUCGAUUCCAGAGUGGAUUGUCAUGCCUUUGUCCAUGAGGGGACUCUUCUAUACAACUUUUAUUUACUCCAAACUAUAUAUUUGAACUUAGUACUUUGCACCCCUCUUAAGGCACCUGGUCUACCUUGUUCUGUGGCUGGUUGAACAUCUGCCUUACCCUCCCUGGUGGAAGAGCCAUUCCUAGAAAACAGGGGUUUACCCUUGCACACAGUAGGCACACAUUAGAGUUAGUGGAUUUGAGAAAUUGUCUUAAUCAUAAGGGAGCGUGUCCACACAGUGAUUCCAUUACACAACAUGAAUGAAAACCUAAGUGUUUCAACUUUCAAUCACUUGAAAUAAGCCUUUCUUUCCUGGGUAAAAGAUUAGUUGACAUGUAUGGGCUGUUAAAAUUUAUAUAUGCAAAAAAAUUGUUGACAGUUAUUUUCUUUGCGUUUCUUGGAGAGAAAGAGAAGGAAAAUUAUGGUAAUAUAUAGAAUUUCCUUGGGAGAGGGGAGCUUUCUACAACAUGCCUAAGAACAAAGGAGACAGAAAAUUAAAACCAAGUGCCCAGGCAACAAGUUUCCUUCCUUUCAGCAAAGCAUCAAGAAACUGAAGCUGGACAUGAUGCUCAAAAUAGAAGAAAGUCAAAAGAAAAUGUAGCAGCUCUUCGGCAUUGAUUGUAGGGGCUCCCCCAUCCUGCUGCAAGGUUUGUAGGUUUAUAGUCAGAGUCAUCCCAACUAGAAAAGUCCAGAUUAAGAAGACCCCUUUGUUCAACCUGGAGAAGGAACAAUGUAAAUCUCAAGUCCCCUUAGAGGGGAAGAGGAGAGCCAGUCUUGUCAGAUGCUUGCAAAUAAAAAGGAAGAUGAAGGCCUGCAACACCCACUCUGGAUAAUCCUUUCCACCUCUCUUCCUCUUUUGUACAAGAGGAAACCAAAAUGCAGGGAAGUGACUUGCUCAAGACCACCCAGUUAAUCCAUCCUGUUAUGGAUGUGGAAUCCUCUGAUUACCUGAAUUCAAGACCCAACUCUGCCAUGUACUAGCACUGUGGACAAGGAUGUCACUCACCAUUUUUAUGAUGAUAUUUCCUCAGCUAUAGAUGAGGGUUAUUAGGAGUGUUAGAUAAGACAAUCCUUCUAAAUCCUUCCAAAAUGCUUGCCACUCAAAAUGUUGCUAUUAUUCUUUUUAGUGUUAGUCACUCAGUCAUGUCCAACUCUUUGUGACCCCAUGGACUGUAGCUCACCAGGCUCCUCUGUCCAUGGAAUUCUCCAGGCCAGCAUACUGGAGUAGGUAGUCAUUCCCUUCUCCAGAGGAUUUUCCCAACCCAGGGAUCGAACCCAGGUCUCCUACAUCACAAGCAGAUUACCAUCUGAGCCACCAGGGAAGCCCUGAUUACACAUCUUUAAUUUAAAAAGCUAUAUAAAACUUCACUAUUCAAUGCAGUAACCACUGGCUGCAUGUGGGUAUUGAGAACUUGAAAUGCGGCUAAUUCAAAUUGUAAUAUAUGAUAAAUGUUACAAAUCUACAUUGGAUUUUGGAGACAGUACAAACAUUCAAAAAACUAAGAUCAUAGGAUCUGGUCCCAUCACUUCAUGGCAAAUAGAUGGGGAAACAAUGGAAACAGGGACAGACUAUUUUCUUGGGCUCCAAAAUCACUGCAGAUGGUGACGGCAGCCUUGAAAUUAAAAGACGCUUGCUCUUUGGAAGAAAAGCUAUGAUCAACCUAGACAGGAUAUUAAAAAGCAGAGACAUUCAUUACUUUGCCAACAAAGGUACAUCUAGUCAAAACUACGGUUUUUCCAGUAGUCAUGUAUCGAUGUGAGAGUUGAGCUAUAAAGAAAGCUGAGGGCCAAAGAAUUGAUUCUUUUGAACUGUGGUGUUGGAGAAGACUCUUGAGCGUCCCUUGGACUGCAAGGUGAUCCAAUCAGUUAAUCCUAAAGGAAAUCAGUCCUGAAUAGUCAUUGGAAGGACUGAUGCUGAAGCUGAAGCUCUAAUACUUUGGCCAUCUGAUGCCAAGAGCUAACUCAUUGGAAAAGACCCUGGUGCUUGAAAUAUUGAAGGCAGUAGGAGAAGGGGAUGACAGAAGAUGAGAUGGUUGGAUGGCAUCACUGACUUGAUAGACGUGAGUUUGAGCAAGCUCGGGGAGUUGCUGAUGGACAGGGAAGCCUGGAAUGCUGCAGUCCAUGAGGUCUCAAAGAGUCGGACAUGACUGAGUGACUGAACUGAAUACAAAAAAUAUAGUGUCUCAUUAAUAAUUUUAUAUUGAUUGCAUGUUGAAAUCACAAUAGUUUGGAUAUACUGGGUUUAAUAAAGUAUAUUAUUUAAAUUAUUUCAUCUAUUUUAACUUUUAAAAACAUACUAAAAACAUAAAAUUACUAUGUGGUUCACA
rnacentral:lncRNA from 1 species